AAUUUCUGAAGCAGAGGCAUGAUUUGCUGACUUCUGUGAACCAGUGAAGUUUUUGUGCACCUGUAACAGAGACGGAAGUCUCUCAACUACUAGAAUUGAGCAUCACCCUUCUACAUCCCAUCUUGUGGGUAAAUAAAACAGUUUGUCUGCACAAGUGUCGCCAAAUGCAGCAAAAAGGAGGCACCUUAUUACUCAAACCUGCUCUGAAGAAACAUAGUCCAGUCCAGACAGCAACA